UACGGAGGGGCUAGCGUUGUUCGGAAUUACUGGGCGUAAAGCGCACGUAGGCGGCUUUGCAAGUCAGAGGUGAAAGCCCGGGGCUCAACCCCGGAAUUGCCUUUGAGACUGCAUCGCUAGAAUUGUGGAGAGGUAAGUGGAAGUCCGAGUGGUAGAGGUGAAAUUCGUAGAUAUUGGGAAGAACACCGGUGGCGAAGGCGGCGACCUGGUCCG
rnacentral:rRNA from 1 species